rnacentral:lncRNA from 1 species
UGAUGAUUGAAAAUCCAUCCAGGCAGGAUGUACGGGCUAUGAUUCAGUUUUUAACGGUUGAGGGAUGUAAGCCAGUGGUGUUAGUAGGUAAAUCAGCAUGUUGGUCACCACUGCCUUACAUCUCUCAGCCGUUAGGGGCUGAAUUGUGGGUCGUGUAUCCUGCUUGGAUGGAUUUUUCGGUCAUAUCAGCCAUCUUCAACAUUGUCGUGGGUUUAAAAAUGACACAGGUGCUCAACUUGAGCACUAUGCAUGCAUAACACAUACAGUUUCACUUUAAUACCUACAUCCCUGAACUGAAGUGCCG